rnacentral:rRNA from 1 species
CCUACGGGAGGCAGCAGUGGGGAAUAUUGCACAAUGGGCGCAAGCCUGAUGCAGCGACGCCGCGUGAGGGAUGACGGCCUUCGGGUUGUAAACCUCUUUCAGCAGGGACGAAGCGAAAGUGACGGUACCUGCAGAAGAAGCACCGGCCAACUACGUGCCAGCAGCCGCGGUAAU